UAGGGAAUCUUCUGCAAUGGACGACAGUCUGCCCGAGCAACGCCGCGUGAGGGAAGAAGGUUUUCGGAUCGUAAAAAUCUGUUGUUAGAGAAGAACAAGGACGUUAGAAACUGAACUUCCCCUGACGGUAUCUAACCAGAAAGCCACGGCUAACUACGUGCCAGCAGCGGCGGUAAUACGUAGGUGGCAAGCGUUGUCCGGCUUUAUUGGUCGUAAAGCGAGCGCAGGCGGUUUCUUAAGUCUGAUGUGAAAGCCCCCGGCUCAACCGGGGAGGGUCAUUGGAAACUGGGAGACAUGAGUGCAGAAGAGGAGAGUGGAACUCCAUGUGUAGCGGUGAAAUGCGUAGAUAUGUGGAGGAACACCAGUGGCGAAGGCGGCUCUCUGGGCUGUAACUGACGCUGAGGCUCGAAAGCGUGGGGAGCAAACAGG
rnacentral:rRNA from 1 species